GCUUGUCCAAGCUACAGAAUACAGAGGCUAAAAUGGGUGCUGGUGAUGUCCCGUGCCUUCCAGAUAUGAACAAAAGGGGACCAUGAGUUGGAUCUUCUCUCAGGGAUAAACUUGUACCAGCCAUGCUUAAGUGAGCUGGUGCUUAAUCACUUUUCCUUCAUGGACAGAGGAUCUAGACUCAUUCUUCUGUGCUUGUUUGUGUUACUCUUUGACAGCCUGAAGGUAUUGAAAAGGAAAUGACCCAGAGUUUCCUUAUCUGUACAGAAGGUGCCAAAGCCUCCAAGCAGGGAGUUUUGGACUUGCCAAACGAUGUAGUAGAAGGGUCAGCCAGAGGCUUUUUCACUGUUGUGGGGGAUAGUCUAGGACUUGCCAUGCAGAAUCUGGUUGUUCUCCAAAUGCCCUAUGGAAGUGGAGAGCAGAAUGCUGCCCUACUAGCAUCUGAUACUUAUGUUCUUGACUAUCUGAAAUCUACUGAGCAACUGACAGAGGAAGUUCAAUCUAAGGCUUUCUUUCUCUUAUCUAAUGGUUAUCAAAGGCAGUUAUCUUUCAAAAACUCUGAUGGUUCAUAUAGUGUGUUUUGGCAGCAGAAUCAGAAAGGAAGCAUAUGGCUCAGUGCUCUUACUUUUAAGACAUUGGAGAGAAUGAAAAAGUAUGUAUUCAUUGAUGAAAAUGUUCAAAAACAGACCUUAAUCUGGCUUUCAAGCCAACAGAAAACGAGCGGCUGCUUUAAGAAUGAUGGCCAGCUUUUCAAUCAUGCCUGGGAGGUGAGAGAGGAGAAGCACCAGGCUUUCCUUGCUCCUGGGCAUUGCCUGCCUUGCCCUGCCUCUGGCUUUCCUGAUCUGGAAUAUGAAUAUUCUUCCUGUGCAUAUGAAGCCUUCUGAGGCACUGCAGUCCUGGGCCUGUGGUGGGUUGGUCAGCAGCACCAUUCCUGCUUCGUGCAUGUUUAACCACAGCCUGGAUGUGACUCCUUCUGAGUCUCUUGUCUGCCUUAUUCAGUCUCUAGUCCUUCCCAAGUCAGUCCUCUUCAGAAAUUAAACUAGAAAUAGAAGGGAGGGGGAGAAAGGAAACCUAGAAAAGAAACUUUCAUAAAUUUGGAGACAGUCAAUGUAUAAAGGGAGAGGGCUGUGAGUAUAUGAGGAAGGAAAGUUUAUUCCUGUCCAUGAAUGGCAAGAAAGUUCUGGGGGAGAAUAUCUAGUAAUUCAUCUUGUUUCAAUGAAGCAAGUUUUUCUCAGACCCUCUCAAGGAAAAAUUCAAAGGCCAAGCUUGCCCUGGGGCCAAAGUACAAAUGAGGUGAAGUAUAUCCUUGGCAAAAUCCAACACUUUUCCUGUUCACAUUUAGGUAAAUCCCUCCCUUCCAACUUCCUUUCUUUGCAGAUACCUGUCCACCUCCAGCCCAUCUUCUAUCUCCUUUCCCCUCCUUUUUUUCCCUGUGGUUGCUCAAAAUCUCCUAUCAUGGCAUUUUAGCAUGCUCUGAUGGCCCCUGAAAUACCCUGAGCUUUUCUUCAGCAUCCUUCCUCAUAAUCAUCACUCCUGUUCUUGAAACACAGAAUGCAUAUCUAAUCCACAUCAAAAUAUGAAUGAAAACAGACACUCUAUGAUAUUUAAUUUGCAUGCAAAUUGUAUUCAAAUUGCUUUGUGGUAUUUUUAAUGUAUUCCAAACUUAUUCCUUACAACAGGAGGACUCUGAUGGAGGAGAGCUCUUGCUCCUUCGUAGAAAAAUCAAAAACUUUCCCACGUUCUCUUCUAAAACAUCUCCACAUCUUUCUUCUUAUUGGAUUCAUUACUGGUGAAUCAUUGCUGAUUACUGCUACAGUUUGUCUGAUCUUACCCAGUACUUUCUCUAUAAUUAAAUAUCUGUGUGGGUGGGUGGGUGGGUGGAUGUCUGUGUGUGUUUUGAGUUGAGAGAAAUAAAAAUGCAAGGGAAAAAUCAAAGCUUACACUGCAGAAGAAUGGUGAUACCACUUGCUGUAAUUUGGACGUACUGAGAGUCCUCAUACCUCAUGUUAGUGUCUACCAUAUGCAGUUAUUUGCAUCUUAAACACUUGGUUUCUCAGAAAUAUUUCUUUUCUGAAGAAGAGAGGAGUUGUCCUUUGCUUAAACAGAUAAAAUGGGAAGCUUGUACAAGAUCGGUAGAUCCCAGAUGCCAUUCUGAAUGCUAUUUGCAUCAGAGUCACUAGAGCACCCAUUAAAAUGCAUUUCGCUGUCUUAUUCCUGAAUUUUUUGGACCAGAAUCUCUGUGUAGACACUGGUUGAUUGAAGUACCCCAGGGGACUUUUAUGCACAGUCAAUUUGCAAACCACGUGAUUUAUAAAUGAGUUUCUCAUUUUACACUGUAAGAAUCUGAGACUUAAUUCUGGUGACCUCCUAGGGUGCUUUUCCAGGAAUUUCCAGGAAUCUUCACGGCAACUUUCUGCUUCACCUCAUUAGAAAUUCUUUGUUGGCUUUUUUCAGAUUUAUACCAAGUGGAGACAAAUAGAGUCCUGUGAAUUCCUUAGAAUGCAUGCUUAACACCAGGCCACAUAAAUACGAUUGAAAUUAAUUGUUAUAACAACUUAAUAAUUAUGAUUUAAUUAUUGCAUAGAGUCUGAAUGAAUUCUUGCUUAGAUGGUAUGAUUAUUAACCAUCUAAUUUAAAAACUACACAUGUUCAGGUGUUUUUAUAAAUAAUGGUAUUUGUUCCAGUAUUUUUUUCAUACCUAGUUUUACUUCAAAAGAAUACUUGCUAUUUUGUGCUCUCCUGUCCCAAAUGACUCCUUGUUCCUUUGUUUUCAGGGUGGAGAUGAAGAGGACAUUUCACUCACUGCAUAUGUUGUUGGGAUGUUCUUUGAAGCUGGGCUCAAUUUCACUGUAUGGAUUCCCAUCAUCUUCUGAUUUCAGUCAGCUGAAUGCACAUUCAAUAACUGUAGAGUCAGAGUCACUUGAGAUUCUAAGACUGGAUAAAACCCCGAGAUAACAUUUAGUUUAUUACCACCCUUUAAAUUCAAGCUUUUCAAAUUGUUUUUCAUUCAUAGACAGCUUUGAAAAACAGGAUUGGGUUUCUCCCUAGGGAGAAUACACAUAUGCACAGAAAAACGAGAUAUUCACACAAUUGCAGGCAUUCACAUCUCUCCUGAAGUUCAGCCAUAAAUUUCGGAUUGAGAACCCCUGUUCUAAGUAAAGCCAUAGCCUAGUAUUCUGUUUCUCUCUAAACAAUAAGUGAGUAAACAUUUUCAACUGAAGUGUGGCUCACCCUAGCCACCUCCCAAUCCAUAGGUUAGAUUUCCAAAAUCUAUUCCUGAACUAAGAUGCUAGGAAUUGUCAGGGUCAUUAGUAUACCUUGAAAAUUAUCUUCAGAAAUGUAAGCCUCUAUUUUAGGCAUUAGAAAAAAAAAAAAGCUUAGGCUUAUGAUAAAUUUGGAUGCUUUGCCGCAUAGAAGACAUUCAUAACUGAAAUAUCACUGAUCAAAUAUAAAAACUGCCAUUUUCUUACUAAAUUUUAUUGGGCCGGGCAUGGUGGCUCAUGCCUAUAAUCCAAGCACUUUGGGAGGCUGAGGUGGGUGGAUUACCUGAGGUCAGGAGUUCAAGACCAGCCUGGCCAACAUGGUGAAACCCUAUCUCUACUAAAAAUACAAAGAUUAGCUGGGCUUGGUGGUGCAUGCCUGUGAUCCCAGCUACUCGGGAGAUGGAGGCAGGAGAAUCGCUUGAACCUGGGAGGUGGAGGUUGCAGUGAGCUGAGAUCAUGCCACUGCACUCCAGCCUGGGUAACAGAGCGAGACCCUAUCUCAAAAAAAAUAUAUAUAUAUAUUGCUUAGGUACUAAUAAUGACAUUAUAAAUUUAUUUUAAUGAUAUUUUUGAAGGAUAAAAUAUAUGUGUAUAUAUAAAUGGAUUUGUAUGUAAAAUAUACUUUGAGGAUAUAUUAUAUAUAUUAUAAACAAUGAUUAGUUUAAAUGUUCAACAAGCUCAUGGAAUGUUCGGGUAUCAGUUUACAAUAUAUGAUUCUUCUUCCUGACCAACAGUUUCCUGCUCUACGAAACGCACUCUUUUGCCUUGAAGCGGCAUUGGACAGUGGUGUCAAAAAUGGCUACAAUCAUGCAAUUCUAGCUUAUGCUUUUGCCCUAGCUGGAAAAGAGAAGCAAGUGGAAUCUUUACUCCAAACCCUGGAUCAAUCUGCCACAAAACUAAAUGAUGUCAUCUACUGGGAAAGAGAAAGGAAACCCAAGACAGAAGAAUUUCCAUCUUUUAUUCCCUGGGCACCUUCUGCUCAGACUGAGAAGACUUGCUAUGUGCUGUUGGCUGUCAUUUCCCGGAAAAUUCCUGACCUCACCUAUGCUAGUAAGAUUGUGCAGUGGCUUGCCCGACAGAUGAAUUCCCAUGGAGGCUUUUCUUCCACCCAGUGAAGGAUCCAGUGAGAUUUUCCAGGUUAACAAUGAUAACCGCCUACUGGUCCAACGUUCAGAACUAACAAAGGCACCUGGACAAUACACAGUAGAUGUGGAAGGACACGGUUGUACAUUUAUCCAGGCCACCCUUAAGUACAAUGUUCUCCUACCUAAGAAGGCAUCUGGAUUUUCUCUUUCCUUGGAAAUAGCAAAGAACUACUCUUCGACUGUUUUUGACCUCACAGUGACCCUCAAAUAUACUGGAAUUCGCAAUAAAUCCAGUAUGGUGGUUAUAGAUGUAAAAAUGCUAUCAGGAUUUACUCCAGCCAUGUCAUCCAUUGAAGAGCUUGAAAACAAGGGCCAAAUGAUGAAGACUGAAGUCAAGAAUGACCAUGUUCUUUUCUACUUGGAAAAUGUUUUUGCUACAGCAGACAGUUUCACUUUUUCUGUUGAGCAGAGCAACCUUGUGUUCAACAUUCAGCCAGCCCCAGUCAUGGUCUACGAUUAUUACGAAAAAGGUAGGCAAGCAACAGCCAUGCCCUAAGGCUAUUGAACAUGGUAUUUAUAUCUAACAUUCUCUGAGCUACUAAACUUUCCAAAAUCAACCUCUGUCUUCACAGAGUAAACAAUAGAUGGCAUUACUUUGUAUACUGGUUUCUUUAUUCCAUGAUGUGUCUUCUGACUGAACCCAUUUUCCAGUUACCAGAGUUUUUCAACACCAGAAUCCUUGCAAUAUAACCUGACAGGGCUCCACUUGAACUUGAAAGACAAGCCACACUAAGCUUCCAGGUCUUUUUGUUAUUGUCAUUGUUGUUCAUGCUAAGACUGACUGUUCCAAGCUAUCUCUAUGGACUUUGACUUAAAAAUGGGAGUGGGGAAUAUUCUGAAAUGUUAUUUUAAAAAAUUGAUAGAUUAAUUUCUAAAACAAUUACUAAGAUGUUGUAGAGACCAUACAACUGUUCCCUGGAAGGUUGGUACUAUUUGUUUCUUGUUGAAUGCUGUGUGAAGUUUGUCGAGUAUUUGAAUUCUGUGUCUGUCAUUUACUAAUAGAAUGUAUUUCAUCAAGUGUCUUAAAUAUUAUUAGCAUAUUUCUGGAUGUAUAAAAUGGGAAAGUAAUUGUCUCUAUUUCAAAAUUAUUGGAAAGAUUAGAUCUAAUGUGCUUAUAUCAUCUAUUUAAUAAAAAUACAUGUUCCCUUUAUUUUUUCAGGAGAAUAUGCCCUUGCUUUUUACAACAUCGACAGUAGUUCAGUUUCCGAGUGAGACAAAGCAAUUACUGGAAGAGGUAAAGAAAUUUUAUUACAUCAUAAACCAUUGAAAACACAUCUAGUAAGAAAAUGAAAGCCUAAAUAAGAUAGGACAAUGGUUGAAGAAAGAAAAGUGUCUGGUACUUCAUUAGACUUGUGUAGCUGUGUACUACAUGAGUAAUCUGAUAGUCAUUAAGACUAUUAAUUUCUUUAAAAAUAGCUUUAAAGAAUUCACAGCUAUAUAUGUACCUUUUAUAAAUCUCUCAUUUUUGUUUUGGUACAUAAGUGUAUAUAUGUAUGAUACGUCUAUGUGCCUAUAUAUGCAUGUUUUUAUAUCUAAACAUCUAUUUAUAUAUGUGUUUAUUGUUUAAACAAUGUUUUAAAUCCCAGGUGGAAAAGCAUUUCUUUUAAUAAACCGAUUCUUCUGUAUCAAACCUGGAAAAAAAUCAUGAACCAUCUGACAUCCUGAACAGUCUGCAAUCUGCUAUGGCUUCUUGUCAGGUCUUAUUUCCUUAUCAUCCCAUUAAAUGUUGUCAUUUUGCAUCUGA
rnacentral:sRNA from 1 species